rnacentral:lncRNA from 1 species
UCAUGCCUAUAUCCAAUUUUUUCUUUACUAAACUAUUUCCCCUCUUUGCUUUUGAGCAGCUACAUAUAUAGCUUCACUUAGUUCACACAUUGAUUAAAGCAAUGAUGAUUCCCGGAAACCUGCGAGGAUGUGUUGAUAUCGGCCGGGAACACAAAGGAAGUGGUGGUGGUUGGUGGUGCUGGUGGCAUGACGACCAACGUUUCUUUUGUAAAUACGGGUGAAAGAGAUAUUUGGCAAAAGAACAAACAAGGCUUUGCAAUUGCGCUCUCCUGAGUUGCUAGCCUAGCCCCUACCAAAGAGGCAGAAUCGGGAGAGCAGCAUCGUUGCAUUGCGGGGAAUUGAGGGUAGCGGUCCGACUUUACUUAACUCUAGUACUUUAGAAUUCUUACUUUCUUUUUCCUUGUUUAAACUUCUGUCCUCUUAUGUCUUCUUCUUCUUUUUUGCCAGUACUUUCACUUUAUUUGACUUUUUUUUCCCCUUUAUUUAGGACUAAGUAGUCUUAAUUAUGAGAUGAAUAUGGGAUGUAAGAGAUGCAUACGAGGUAGCUAGCUAGCAUGUUUAAGGUUGGUUGGUUGGUAUUGGAAUGUAGGAUUUGGGGUUUGGAUAGUUUUUAAACAUAAAUGCUGCCGGGAAUGCAUCGCUUACACCUAUCAUGUACUUGCUGCUGUGCGUUGAAUAAAGAAAAAGAACAUAUAACUCUGGUUCUUGUUUUCUCUCUUGCCUUGGUUAUAUUUCUUUGUGUACUAGUGCUUGAUAUCUUACAUGAAAAACCGGUAGUGGGUGCAAACAUCAGAUUUCCAUUUGUG